rnacentral:rRNA from 1 species
AACGAACGCUGGCGGCAGGCCUAACACAUGCAAGUCGAACGCUGCAGCAAUGCAGAGUGGCAGACGGGUGAGUAACACGUGGGAACCUUCCCAAUGGUACGGAAUAGCUCAGGGAAACUUGAGGUAAUACCGUAUACGCCCGAAAGGGGAAAGAUUUAUCGCCAUUGGAUGGGCCCGCGUCGGAUUAGCUAGUUGGUGAGGUAACGGCUCACCAAGGCUACGAUCCGUAGCUGGUUUGAGAGAACGACCAGCCACACUGGGACUGAGACACGGCCCAGACUCCUACGGGAGGCAGCAGUGGGGAAUAUUGGACAAUGGGCGCAAGCCUGAUCCAGCCAUGCCGCGUGAGUGACGAAGGCCUUAGGGUUGUAAAGCUCUUUUGGCGGGGACGAUAAUGACGGUACCCGCAGAAUAAGCCCCGGCUAACUUCGUGCCAGCAGCCGCCGUAAAAC